CUCUACGGCCAUACCACCCUGAACACCGCCAGGUCGCCUCUGAUCUCGGAAGCUAAGCAGGGCCGGGCCCUGGUUAGUACUUGGAUGGGAGAACCACCUGGGAAUACCAGGUGCUGUAGGCU
rnacentral:rRNA from 1 species